UUCUGCAUUUAUUUUUGCUUGUAAGCACAUACAUAUACAUAUAUUUGGCAUACCUGUCAUUGGUAUUCUUAAGCAUACUUGCAUAUUUAUGCAUUUAUUUUUGCUUGUGAGUAUAUAUAUAUAUACAUAGUUGACAUACCUGUCACUGGUAUUCUUAAGCAUACAUGCAUAUUUAUGUAUUUAUUUUUGCGUGUAAGCAUAUACAUAUACAUAUAUACAUAUAUUUGACAUACCUGUCACUGGUAUUCUUAAGCAUACUUGCACGUUUCUGCAUUUACUCUUUUUGCAUACACGUAUAUAAUUUUAUGCACAUUCGCAUAUAUAUAUACAUACAAUCGUAACGAUUUAAUUAAUUUAUUCGCAAUGGAUAAGCAAACUAUGGUAGUUUUCGACAAACCAGAAGAAGUUGUUAAUAAAAUUGCUGAAGUUGUAAAACUUGAAGAGCAAAAGGUUUUUAUAACAAACAGUGUUGGAGUUAAUGAUAACGUUAGUGUUGAGACUGAGUUGAUUAAUGAUAAUCGAGAAGUUGUAGAUUUAGUGGAGAUUAAUAGUAUGAACACGUUACCCAAGGAAGAAAAUUUAUGUCAUAAGGUGGAUACAGUUGUGAACGAAAGUAUAGAUUGUAUGUUUCAAAAAGAUGAUUGUACAGAACAAAAAGUACAUGAUAGUGAAGUAAAAACUGUAGAUGAAAAACAUAUGAUUAUUGCUGAUCGUAUUUUACGAAUUAAUUUAUCAGUAUCUCCACAAAAUUUUAAAAUUUUUAAAAGUGUGUCAAGUAGUGGUGAAGUAAUUAUUAAUGUAACAUUACAGUUAAAUACGAAUAAAUACGAGUUAUUUGAAAACGAAUAUUCUAAUUCAAAACCAGACAUAUCUUUAAUCGGAUCAUGUUCAGAUUUAACAACGAAUGAUGUAACAGACAGUCAUAAAUUAAAUUGUGAAGAGCAGGUAAAUAAAAAUGUGCAGAAUGAUACUGUAAAUACAACUGAUAAUAACGACACUGUAUUAGCAUGUGAAACUUUAUGUGAUAAUAAGAAAGUUGAAUCUAAAUUUAAUGAUGUUGUAGAUCUUAGUUGUAUAGAAGCUGUAAGAGAAAACAAAUUAGUAGUAUUAAAAAGUGAAGAGUCUGUAACAAAUAGUAGCGAAUCUACUGCUACUGUUUUUGAUGAUAUUGAAAGAUAUGCACAUGCACCUGUUAAUAAAGAGUAUGAAAUGUUAUUUGGUGGUAUUGUUUCUAUUAUUGGUAGUGGUGAUACUAAUCAAACGCAUACAGAUAAAGAUGUACAAACAGAAGUUGAACAUUGUCAAGAAGAACUAUUUAAUUCAGGUUAUGUCUCAGCAAAUAGCUCAUUCACUGUUGAUGAAACAAACGUAGAAACAUAUGAAAUGAAACGUAAACAGUUUGAACAAAAAGUAAACCAGUUUAACCGUAUGGAAAGUAUGAAACAAGUUGUAAAAAAAGCAAAGCUUAAUACUGAAACUAAAAAAAAUGUAGGGGUACAAACAUGUAAUCUCUCUAAACAAGUGAAAUUCGCUCCUAAUGUAGUUAAGUCUAAAACUAUUCGUUCUAAUUAUACAAGGAGUAAUAAUAUGUAUAAGUUUCCUGUUAAUGCAAUAGUGCCGAUUAGUGCCCUGAAUGAAAUUUAUAUAAAUAGUAAAAAGAGAUGUAUCAACAAAAACACUAACGAUGAAAAUAGCAGUGGCAGUGACAGUGACAGUAGCAGUGACAGUGACAGUAGUAGUGACAGUAGCAGUGAUAGCGAAAGUGGCAUCGAAAGUGAUGGUGACAGUAGCAGAGAGAGUGACAAUGAUAGUGAUAAUGGGAACAAUGGAACUGUCAAUAGCACAAGCCAAAACUCCAGUGUAAGCAAAAACUCCAGUGUAAGCAAAAACUCCAAUGUAAGCAAAAACUCCAAUGUAAGCAAAUACUCAAACAAGAGCAGAUACUCAAACAACAGCAGAUACACAAACAAGAGCAGAUACACAAGCAUAAACAGAUACAUAAACAUGAGCACAUACAUAAACAUGAGCACAUACAUAAACAUGAGCACAUACAUAAACAUGAGCAGAAACUUUAAUGCCAAUGCCAACCUAUUAACCAUAACAGAUGAUAAUCAACAAGAUGAUAAAAUCCAACAAUUAGAAGAAAAAUGUUUUGUUAAUAAUGACAGUUACUUACAGUUAUUCAUGGAAACAAGGACGGAAAGAUUUAAUAACGUUUGUCUGAUUUAUAAGUUGUUAAUGGUUCAAAAAAAUAACAAAUUAGUAUCAUUUUUAUCGGUAGCACAAAAGCAGAAUGGACAACCAGGUGUUAUUGCAUUAAGAAACCAUACUAUGGAGAGUAUUCCUUAUUAUGGAAGUCAAAUAAAAACAAAUAAUUUUAUGACUAUAUAUGUAAAAAGCAUUGGAAAUAUUCUCAAUUAUUAUUUAAAUCGUUACAUUUACCACAGUUUGCAUAAUGUUAGUUUACCAUUAGAUUUACAUGUAGGUCUGUCAGUUGAUUACACUAUCAAUAAAAAAAGGAAACUAGUUGGACAAGUUGAAUCGGUUGAAUCGGUUGAAUCAGAUGAUGUUGUUAUAAGUAAAAGACACAAAUCUAUAACACAGAAUGACGUUGUAGAUAUUACACAAAGUGUCACAAAUGUUUACAAGGCAUCACAUGAUGAUAAUGCUAUUACUAUAGCUACUGAAAAAGGUACAGACCGAAAAAGAAAAGGCGUACAGAACCCUAAAGUUAUACAAGGCGAAAACACUAAUACCAAAAACAAUAUAGUAGUGAGAAAAAACAAAAAACAAAAAGUAAAUGACGACAAUGUGAGAAACAAUGUGAGCAAUAAUAAGGGAAAAAACACAAAAAAGCCGAUUCAUGGUCUUUCAAAGGGUGACGUAUCCGGUGAGAAAUGUAUUACUCAUUACUUUAAUACAACUACUACAAUGUUAUGUACAUGCAUGUGUGAACCUAAUGUUAAUAAAAAAAAUAACCAAAUAAAUAUGAAGGUCGGUACGAAACCAAUGGU
ensembl:lncRNA